GACGAACGCUGGCGGCGUGCCUAAUACAUGCAAGUUGAGCGCUUAAGGUUGGUACUUGUACCAACUGGAUGAGCAGCGAACGGGUGAGUAACGCGUGGGGAAUCUGCCUUUGAGCGGGGGACAACAUUUGGAAACGAAUGCUAAUACCGCAUAAAAACUUUAAACACAAGUUUUAAGUUUGAAAGAUGCAAUUGCAUCACUCAAAGAUGAUCCCGCGUUGUAUUAGCUAGUUGGUGAGGUAAAGGCUCACCAAGGCGAUGAUACAUAGCCGACCUGAGAGGGUGAUCGGCCACAUUGGGACUGAGACACGGCCCAAACUCCUACGGGAGGCAGCAGUAGGGGAUCUUCGGCAAUGGACGAAAGUCUGACCGAGCAACGCCGAGUGAGUGAAGAAGGUUUUCGGAUCGUAAAACUCUGUUGGUAGAGAAGAACGUUGGGGAGAGUGGAAAGCUCAUCAAGUGACGGUAACUACCCAGAAAGGGACGGCUAACUACGUG
rnacentral:rRNA from 1 species